GCGAGAGUGGCGGAAUUGGUAGACGCACUGGAUUUAGGUUCCAGCGCCGCAAGGUGUGCAGGUUCGAUUCCUGUCUCUCGCACCA
rnacentral:tRNA from 2 species